rnacentral:rRNA from 1 species
CCCUUAGAUGUUCGGGGCCGCACGCGCGCUACACUGAAGGAAUCAGCACGUCUUUCUCCUUGUCCGAAAGGACUGGGUAACCCGCUGAACCUCCUUCGUGCUAGGGAUUGGGGCUUGUAAUUCUUCCCCAUGAACGAGGAAUUCCCAGUAAGCGCGAGUCAUAAGCUCGCGUUGCUUACGUCCCUGCCCUUUGUACACACCGCCCGUCGCUACUACCGAUUGGAUGGUUUAGUGAGAUCCUCGGAUUGGUCCCGGCGCGGCCUCUGGUCGUGCCGGAGUGCCGAAAAGAAUGUCGAACUUGAUCAUCUAGAGGAAGUAAAAGUCGUAACA